rnacentral:rRNA from 1 species
GAUGAACGCUAGCGGGAGGCUUAACACAUGCAAGUCGAGGGGCAGCAUAGGGUAGCAAUACUCUGAUGGCGACCGGCAAACGGGUGAGUAACGCGUAUGCAACCUACCCUGUACAGGGGGAUAACCCGGAGAAAUUCGGACUAAUAUCCCGUAAUAAUAUCCGGAGGCAUCUUUGGAUAUUUAAAGUUCCGACGGUACGGGAUGGGCAUGCGUAACAUUAACUGGUUGGUAAGGUAACGGCUUACCAAGGCUAUGAUGUUUAGGGGUCCUGAGAGGGUGGUCCCCCACACUGGUACUGAGACACGGACCAGACUCCUACGGGAGGCAGCAGUGAGGAAUAUUGGUCAAUGGGCGCAAGCCUGAACCAGCCAUCCCGCGUGCAGGAAGACGGCCCUAUGGGUUGUAAACUGCUUUUCCAGGGAGAGAAACUUACGCACGUGUUGCGUGACUGACGGUACCCUGGGAAUAAGCAUCGGCUAACUCCGUGCCCAGCAGCCCGCGGUAAGAGUGUGUGUA